rnacentral:rRNA from 1 species
CGUUGAUGUAACACGUGCAAUAAUCUACCUCCGAGUGGGGAAUAACUGAGAGAAAUUCUUACGCUUAAUUACCGCAUAAUCACUUACGACGUUCAUACAGCCAGCAAUGCGCUUGGAAGAAGGAGCUCCGUCGGCCGAAUUAGUUUAGUUGGCGGGGCUAAUGGUCCCACCUAAGGACGAUGAUCGGUAUCCGGGCUCUGAGAGGGCUCACGGACUACACUGGAACUUGAAAUCACUAAGUCCAGACUCCUACGGGAGGCAGCAGUGGGGAAUUUUGCGCAAUGGGGGAAACCCUGACGCAGCAACGCCGCGUGGAGGAUGAAAUAUCUUGGUAUGUAAACUCCUUUCGAUCGGGACGAUAAUGACGGUACCGGAAGAAGAAGCCCCGGCUAACUUCGUGCCAGCAGCCGCGGUAAUACGAGGGGGGCGAGCGCUGUUCGGAAUUAUUGGGCGUAAAGGGUGCGUAGGCGGUUCAGUAAGUCUUGUGUGAAAUCUUCGGGCUCAAUCGAAGUCUGCAUGAGAAACUGCUGGGCUUGAGUAUGGGAGAGGUGAGUGGAAUUCCCGGUGUAAGCGGUGAAAUGCGUAGAUUCGGGAGGAAACCUGUG